GAUGAACGCUGGCGGCGUGCUUAACACAUGCAAGUCGAACGGAAAGGCUCCUGCUUGCAGGGGUACUCGAGUGGCGAACGGGUGAGUAACACGCGGGUGAUCUGCCCUUCACUUCGGGAUAAGCCUGGGAAACUGGGUCUAAUACCCGAUAGGAUGUUGGUAUCGAUGUCAUUGAGGAAAGUUUUUUCGGUGUGGGAUGAGCUCGCGGGCUAUCAGCUUGUUGGUGGGGUAAUGGCAUACUAAGGCGUCGACAGGUAGCCGGCCUGGGAGCGUGUACGGGCACAUUGGGACUGAGAGACGGCCCAGACGCGUACGGGAGGCAGCGGUGGGGAGUAUGGCACAGUGAGGGCAAGCCUGAUACAGCGACGCCGGGUGGGGAAUACCGGCCUUCGGGGUGUGAACUCCUUUCGCUAGAGACGAAGCGCAAGUGACGGUACCUGGAGAAGAAGCACCGGCUAACUACGUG
rnacentral:rRNA from 1 species